rnacentral:rRNA from 1 species
GAUCCUGGUUCAGGAUGAACGCUAGCGACAGGCCUAACACAUGCAAGUCGAGGGGCAACAUGGUAUCAGCUUGCUGAUACUGAUGGCGACCGGCGCACGGGUGAGUAACGCGUAUGUAAUCUACCUGUAACAGAGGGAUAACCCGGAGAAAUCCGGACUAAUACCUCAUAGCACAUAUUAUUCGCAUGAAUUUUAUGUUAAAGAGACUCGGUUACAGAUGAACAUGCGUU